UACAAGAAAUGAAAAUGGCAGCACCAGGUCUCUCCUGUCAAGCAUUUCUUAAAAUGCUGGACCAAUGAACCGUCCGCUUUGGCCGUACAGGAAAGAUCUCGACUGACGGCUUCCUGAAAAGUCUUUUCGAGUGGGAAACCAUAGGAUAUGAGUUGGAUAAAAUGUUAAGGAAGGAUCCCUUCAAGUUUUAAGCUUGUACCCCAGAUAUGCUUGCAUUUUCAGUGGAUGGAAACUGCAAACAUUGCCGUUUUAAGAAUGCAGCAAGAUUGGAGGAACAGGCUAUAUUUUAGGACCUUUACAUAGCCAAGGAUGAGACGUAGGAAAAUUUGUGGACUACAUACACAAAUCAACCAAACAUAGUUCUGGAAGA